rnacentral:lncRNA from 1 species
GGCUGCUUGCCCACUUGGCUCCCUCUAGGGAAGUACUCCCAGCUGCCCAGAGUCAUCCUUCUCCAUCCCACUGACCUUCCACCCGUGACCAAUCAGGAGAUGUUUCCAGUUUAUUGGUGAAUUUAUUAGGGCUCAGAGAGGAUGACCUAUCCAAGGUCCCACUGCCAACUGAAUGUAGGACAAGUCUCUGAACCCAGUGUGCCCCUGCCAGAAAGUAGCAGGGAUCACAGAAGUCCAGCAGAGGUCUGCCGCCUUGGACCCUGCCUCUUACACAUUGAGUGUGGUUUCUGCAGUGAUGUGGUGAGGACCCACUUGAAAUCACUUGACCAGGCUACUGCGGUGGGUGUGUGGAAUGGGGCAGAGGAUUUCUGGAACACCUUGUGGAACAUGAGGAUGAAUGAUGAAAACCUGUCCGUAGAGCACGGUUGCAGUAGGAGGGUGCCAGGCUGUAAGCAGGGGUUCAUGAGCCACAACCUUCCCCUGCUAGGCCUGAGUCCUGAAGGCUCCACUCCUGCAUUUGAAUGAUUAAUACCAAGAUAAUCUGCUUAGCAUCCCUCUUUGUCUUGGCUGCCCCCAAGGAAGACAUAAAGUCCCUCCCUCCAUGUCUGUAACUUUCAAGUGGUUUUCAUGUAGAGGAGUUUCAUGGAUUAGGAAAAGGGAGGGACUGCAUUCACCCCAGGCUGCCACCGUUUUCUCAGUUACGCUGCAGUUUUGAACACAGCCUAGGGGUGGAGUGUUGAAGAAGGCCCUUUAAAGAAACCUGAAGUUUUAUCAAAAGCUCCAACUGUACAGGGACUUCAGGCUUCAGAAUUUCUGCAUUUGAGCCAGGCACAGUGGAUCACGCCUGUAAUCCCAGCACUUUGGGAGGCCAAGGCGGGUGGAUCACUUGAGGUAAGGAGUUCAAGACCAGCCUGGCUAACGUGGUGAAACCCCAUCUCUACUAAAAAUACAAAAAUUAGCUGGGCAUGGUGGUGUGUGUCUGUAAUCCCAGCUACUUGGGAGGUGAGGCAGGAGAAUCGUUUGAACCCAGGAGGUGGAGUUUGCAGUGAGCCAAGAUUGUGCCACUGCACUCCAGCCUGGGUGACAGUGAGACUCCGUCUGAAAAAAAAAAAAAAGAUUUUCUGUAUUUGAAUAGAUAAGAUCAGCUUGCCAAUUUAGGAACAGAGGAAACAGAUUUAAUGUUAAGUGGUGAGCUGCAGAAAACCAUUGUAAACAAAAAAUUAAAUUCUAAGCCCCCCAAACAUCUGUACAGACCCCUCCCCUUAGCCAAGGGCAUUUCAAAGUUAACCUGCAAAACCAGUUCAGGCCAUGAUGAGAAGGGGGAAUCAGCUGUGC